UACGGAGGGUGCAAGCGUUGUCCGGAAUCACUGGGCGUAAAGGGCGCGUAGGCGGCUCAUGAAGGCUGUGGUGAAAGUCCGGGGCUCAACCUCGGAUCGGCCGUGGCGACUCGUGGGCUGGAGCACUGUAGAGGCGGGUGGAAUUCCGGGUGUAGCGGUGGAAUGCGUAGAGAUCCGGAAGAACACCAGUGGCGAAGGCGGCCCGCUGGGCAGUGGCUGACGCUGAGGCGCGACAGCGUGGGGAGCAAAC
rnacentral:rRNA from 1 species